UAACCUGCCUUGGAGUGGGGAAUAACAGCUGGAAACAGCUGCUAAUACCGCAUAAUGCAGUUGGGUCGCAUGGCUCUGACUGCCAAAGAUUUAUCGCUCUGAGAUGGACUCGCGUCUGAUUAGCUAGUUGGUGGGGCAACGGCCCACCAAGGCGACGAUCAGUAGCCGGACUGAGAGGUUGGCCGGCCACAUUGGGACUGAGACACGGCCCAGACUCCUACGGGAGGCAGCAG
rnacentral:rRNA from 1 species